rnacentral:lncRNA from 1 species
AUAUUCUUCAAAUUUGAGAGGAGGAGGAGGAGGAGGAGGAGGAGGAGGAGGAGGAGGAGGAGGGGGGGUGUGUGGCUCCUCCCCCCUCCCCCCUCCACCACUAGCUUCAAGAAACAACAACAACAAUAACAGUGGCAAUAAUAUAAUCCCAACUGUUCUGAGACCUCACCCAAGUCCGCAGUCGUCCGUCACAUCUGAUCUCAGUUUACCGACCUCCUUUCACAGUGGUGGAGGCCGCAGGGGAUCCGCAGGAAGUCUAGAGGUGGUACUGGGACCCCUCAUACACAGUGCUAUCAUGCACCAGCACCACUAGCAGGAAGGAGAAUAGUAGUAGGCAUACCAGCUACUACUACUACUGCUACCACUACUACUACUACUACUACUGCUACUACUACUAC